rnacentral:rRNA from 1 species
GACGAACGCUGGCGGCGUGCUUAACACAUGCAAGUCGAACGGAAAAGCCUCUUUCGGGGGGUACUCGAGUGGCGAACGGGUGAGUAACACGUGAGUAACCUGCCCUUGACUUUGGGAUAACUUCAGGAAACUGGGGCUAAUACCGGAUAGGAGCUCCUGCUGCAUGGUGGGGGUUGGAAAGUUUCGGCGGUUGGGGAUGGACUCGCGGCUUAUCAGCUUGUUGGUGGGGUAGUGGCUUACCAAGGCUUUGACGGGUAGCCGGCCUGAGAGGGUGGCCGGCCACAUUGGGACUGAGAUACGGCCCAGACUCCUACGGGAGGCAGCAGUGGGGAAUAUUGCACAAUGGGUGGAAGCCUGAUGCAGCAACGCCGUGUGCGGGAUGACGGCCUUCGGGUUGUAAACCGCUUUCGCUCAUGACGAAGCUUUGUGUGACGGUAGUGGGUAAAGAAGCACCGGCUAACUACGUG